rnacentral:rRNA from 1 species
GAUGAACGCUGACAGAAUGCUUAACACAUGCAAGUCGACUUGAAUUUGGGUUUUUAACUUAGGUUUGGGUGGCGGACGGGUGAGUAACGCGUAAAGAACUUGCCUCACAGCUAGGGACAACAUUUGGAAACGAAUGCUAAUACCUAAUAUUAUGAUAAUAGGGCAUCCUAUAAUUAUGAAAGCUAUAAGCGCUGUGAGAGAGCUUUGCGUCCCAUUAGCUAGUUGGAGAGGUAACGGCUCACCAAGGCGGUGAUGGGUAGCCGGCCUGAGAGGGUGAUCGGCCACACGGGGACUGAGACACGGCCCUUACUCAUACGGGAGGCAGCAGUGGGGAAUAUUGGACAAUGGACCAAGAGUCUGAUCCAGCAAUUCUGUAUGCACGAUGAAGUUUUUCGGAAUGUAAAGUGCUUUCAGUUGGGAAGAAAGAAAUGACGGUACCAACAGAAGAAGUGACGGCUAAAUACGUG